CUUCGCUUUUAACGACCAAGUAUACCUUCAGUCUUCCGGAACUGCGAUGGGAAAACGAUUUGCCCCGAGUUAUGCAAAUCUCUUCAUGGCGGAGUGGGAAAGGGAAGUUCUGCCACUCUGUCCAUUAAAACCAGAUUUCUAUGGGCGGUUUUUAGAUGACGUUUUCAUAGUCUGGACCUACACACUAGACGAAUUUUGGACGUUUUUCAACAUUCUGAACAAUCAUCAUCCAUCUGUCAAAUUAACCGCAAAUAAACAAUAAUACCAGAAUACCAGAAGCACCACCCAAGGAAGACCAUCAGCGCCACCAACACCAAUAAACAGUGAAAUCGCCUUUGUAUAUAAAUCUAAUGUAUUGUAUGUAUUUUAAUAAAACUAGGAAAUAUCA